CGGCCGCGUCGACAUGAUGUAUAGGGGGUGACGCCUGCCCGGUGCUGGAAGGUUAAGAGGAGUGCUUAGCAAUAGCGAAGGUAUGAAUUGAAGCCCCAGUAAACGGCGGCCGUAACAAUAACGGUCCUAAGGUAGCGAAAUUCCUUGUCGGGUAAGUUCCGACCCGCACGAAAGGCGUAAUGAUUUGGGCACUGUCUCAACGAGAGACUCGGUGAAAUUUUAGUACCUGUGAAGAUACGGACUACCUGCAGUCGACGCGGCCG
rnacentral:rRNA from 1 species